rnacentral:rRNA from 1 species
UACGGAAGGCAGCAGUGGGGAAUAUUGCACAAUGGGCGCAAGCCUGAUGCAGCCAUGCCGCGUGUAUGAAAAAGGCCUUCGGGUUGUAAAGUACUUUCAGUCGUGAGGAAGGUGUUAAGGUUAAUAACCUUAGCAAUUGACGUUAGCGACAGAAGAAGCACCGGCUAACUCCGUGCCAGCAGCCGCGGUAAUACGGAGGGUGCGAGCGUUAAUCGGAAUUACUGGGCGUAAAGGGCACGCAGGCGGUUAAUUAAGUUGGAUGUGAAAUCCCCGGGCUUAACCUGGGAAUGGCAUUCAAGACUGGUUAGCUAGAGUCUUGUAGAGGGGGUAGAAUUCCAUGUGUAGCGGUGAAAUGCGUAGAGAUGUGGAGGAAUACCGGUGGCGAAGGCGGCCCCUGGACAAAGACUGACGCUCAUGUGCGAAAGCGUGGGGAGCAAACAGGGAUAGAUACCCGU